rnacentral:pre_miRNA from 1 species
CAAGUACUCCCUCCAUCCGAAAAUACUUGUCAACAAAAUGGAUAAAAAAGAUGUAUCUAGAACUAAUAUACAUUUAGAUACAUCCCCUUUUAUUCAUUUUGACGACAAGUAUUUCCAGACGGAGGGAGCACUAC